AUUGAACGCUGGCGGCAGGCCUAACACAUGCAAGUCGAACGAGUGGCGGACGGGUGAGUAAUGUCGGGGAAACUGCCUGAUGGAGGGGGCUAACUACUGGAAACGGUAGCUAAUACCGCAUACCAUCAGAUGUGCCCAGAUGUGAUUAGCUUGUUGGUGGGGUAACGGCUCACCAAGGCGACGAGCCAUCGCUGGUCUGAGAGGAUGACCAGCCACACUGGAACUGAGACAAGGUCCAGACUUCGCCGGGAGGCAGCAGUGGGUAAUAUUGCACAAUGGGAUCAAGCCUUAUGCAGCCAGGCCGCGUGUAUGAAGAAGGCCUUCGGGUUGUAAAGUACUUUCAGCGGGGAGGCGUUACCCGCAGAAGAAGCACCGGCUAACUCCGUGCCAGCAGCCGCGGUAAUAC
rnacentral:rRNA from 1 species